rnacentral:rRNA from 1 species
GGGCCCGCACAAGCGGUGGAGCAUGUGGUUUAAUUCGAUGAUACGCGAGGAACCUUACCAGGGCUUAAAUGUAACGGGACAGAUCUAGAGAUAGAUCCUUCUUCGGACUCAUUACAAGGUGCUGCAUGGUUGUCGUCAGCUCGUGCCGUGAGGUGUCAGGUUAAGUCCUAUAACGAGCGCAACCCCCAUCGUUAGUUGCCAACGAGUAAUGUCGGGAACUCUAACGAAACUGCCGGUGCAAACCGUGAGGAAGGUGGGGAUGACGUCAAAUCAUCACGGCCCUUACGUCCUGGGCUACACACGUGCUACAAUGGUCGGUACAGAGAGCAGCCACUACGCGAGUAGGAGCAAAUCUUCAAAGCCGAUCUCAGUUCGGAUUGGGGUCUGCAACUCGACCCCAUGAAGUCGGAAUCGCUAGUAAUCG